GCUGCAGCCUGGCUGUACCUCUCUUAAACCUCAUUUAAGGGCUGACUGCCCCUGGGGAAGCAUCUCUGGUUGGAGAUUCUUCCCUUUUGGAGUCAUUUCUGCAAGCCUGGAUCUUUGGAGGUAGCGUGCCCUCUGGCAGUACAUUAAAACAGUGGUGGAUGAGCAAGAGACAUUUGUUUGGGGAUGUCUCUGUGUCUGAAGUUUGGGAAGAAGUUAAGAGAGAAAAGUGGAAACACCACUACAACUCAGCUCAGCUGCUCUUAACAGUGCUUUGUAGAGCUAAGAACUGAAACCCCAGCACCUGGAAGCCUUUGGAAGAGGCUUACUGUGCAUACUUAGAUCUUCAGAGCAUGGCAGCAAGCAUUGAGAAGACACAGAAGCUUAAUAAUUGAGACAUUGACACUUAUAUUUUCCAUCUGUUCAGAACUGUCAUACAGAUACUAUUUCAGAUCCUACCCGUGGUUAAAGCAGGAGGAUGUAUGUGCACAGACUCGCAGAGAAGCAGAUUUUCAGCAGAAUGUGUUCAGAUCAGACAUACAUGCGAACAGUGAGGGUGCAACUCUGCUUAUGCAUUAACGCUGCAGCUUUUGACGCUUUGCCAGGAUGACAUACAAAGGCAGGAAUGGCAAAGCUGACACCCAGGCCUUAACUCACCAUUGCUCAUUUUUCUGUGUUUCUCAUGUGACAAGCACACUGUGUUUCACAGUAUUGCCAUGGACUGUGCAAGGCAAGAGUGUGGGGACACCCCCAGUUUGCUGACAGAAGCAUCCCCUGCAGUGCACUGGACUCAGAUUGGAGUUCUUAAAAUUAAAGCUUCUGAAAAAAAGCUGGGAAAACGUCUUGGCAGGAGAGGAGGUUGCUUGCACCAGCUGUACUCAUGCAUGAUAAGCUCCUGGCCCUCCAGCUGCUCUGGAGACCUUCCUUCAGCUCUGAUUCCUGCGAGAUUUAUUAGCAGCAUGAUGUGGGAUUGGAACAGGUUAGCAGGCUGCUGGUCAGAGCUUCUGUUUGCAAGGUGCCUGCAAAAUUUCUAACAAGCUUUAGAGUAUCUUGGAAGUUGUAGUAUGCUGAGCUUUGUUAACUGUCUUGGGCGUAAGAGCUCUCCUGCUGUGCCGUGAGGAAUAGCACAACAGAUCAUGUGCAUUUAACCUGGGACUACCAGAGAUAGAAUCUGCUUUUUGAUGGCUUGGUGUUGCUUACAAUGAGCACAGUAAAGGAAAGAGUUUUGUGAAGAUCUUGCAGCAGGAAAGAGGAAGAAAGCACCUUCUUUUCCUUGGUUCUAUAUAUGUUGGAGAGUCACUGUGUGCUCUAUUGCCCCUCACUCUCAGCACCUAAUGUAGCUGACAGCAGACCCAAACCCUCCCUGCCAUGCACUCCCUAACAGGGCUCUCAAUUUUGUCUCAUAAGCACAGUCAUUGAUUUUAAUUUGAUACAAAAGGUUUUGAGCCUUCCAGCUCCACUCCUGACCCCUGCAGUCACUGGGGAAUGGCAGUCCUGCUUGUAGCAUGGCCAGGUGAGGAUCAUAAAGAGCAAAAAGCAUUUCUGGCUUGUGAAAGUAGCAAAAGAUAACCAGGUGCCAUUUAACUGCUCUUCUACCAUAUGUUGGACUGUAUCUCUCAUCCACGUUAUCUAAGAAUUUAUUCCAUUUUUUGUAUCAUACAAAUUCAUUUUGAACUCAGCACCACAAAGGACUUCUACCAUUUUCAUUUGUCAUGUCAUCAACCUGCCUUUGGAAAUGAACUUCACCUAAGGAGGAGGAAGGCUGAUUCUUUGCCUUUGUUUGCUUUGUUUUUAUUUAAUAGAGGGAGAAGAAAAAGAGGAGAGAGAAAGGGGCACUUCAUCAGUUCCUGUGGCUUUAGGAUUUGUUGGAAAAUCAGUCACUAAGAGGGGUGGUCCUUGUGAGGAGAUUCAAGCAAUAUUAAAAUGUUCAAUUAAACUUAUUGAAGAGAAUAUUAAGAUACAGUUUAAUCACCAUUUGUGAGUACCUACAUGGGGAGAAUAUUUGAUGUAAGAGGGUUCUUUAUUCUAACUGAGAAAACACUGAAUUCAUCUUUCAGCAGUUUAACAAAGAUUCAAUUAGAAAUGAGAUGAAUUUAUCUGUUUACUUUUAAUGGUGAGGACGCUGUAGAUUCAAGGACUAUCCUGACCACUGGCUACAUGGAAAUUAAAAAGAAAGAGCCAAGCUAUUUUAGUCAGGGUUUAAAGUCCUAAACUGCUUUUUACCCUGAGAUGUUUUAAAAAAAUAUAUAAUAAUAAUAAAAAAAUCCUUUUUGAAGUAGUACAAGCUACCUCACGCAGCAAAACUGCUGGGAGCCAUAAAUCUCCCAGAAGAGAACUUAUUUUUCUCCUGAUUUUCAUGUUAGCUGCAUUUGACUGUCUUCCCAUGAUGAGUUUUGGCAUCUAGGUGUAGUAGUGAUGUAAACAUCAAUAUUUUAACGUCAAAGAAGAAUACAAAAUGAAAUUGAAUUCCAGCAAGUGUAAAGGAAACACAACAAUAGCUUUCCUACUGAAUCCUCUGCAGAUUUCAGAUAAUGGAUUAUUCAUAGACCUUCAGCUCAUAACAAGAUGCCCUUUAUUCAAAGAAUCAUGGAACGGUUUAGGUUGGAAGUGACCUUAAAGUCCAUCCAGUUCCAACUCCUGCAGGGUUACCCACCACCAGCUCAGGCUGUCCAUCUGGUCUUGGGCAUCUCCAGGGAUGAGAAAACAAAGGUGUAGAUUGACUUCCCAGUUAGCACCAUACUAAAAUCAUCCUAACAGUCUUAGUUUCUUUUAAAAUGGGAUUUUAAAACCUCUACUGCACUUAGUUCAGCACGUUAUUCUUUAAGAAUAAUCCUGCUUUAAGAGGGAAGUGACACAGUGUUCUCA